GCUGGUCGGGGCUGGCA
rnacentral:miRNA from 1 species